AGCCCACUCAUUGUCAUUUUGUUUGUUUCUCUGGACUUCAGUUCCCAUCACCCUUUGCCUUGACUCUCAAGCCUCAUUACAUUCAGCUGUGUCCCAUU